UCCUAGAGGAGAGGUGAAAGAAAGGGACAGAAAAAAUAUUUGAAGAAAUAAUGGCCAAAAACUUACAUCCAAGAAGCUCAAAAGAUGUAUGUUGGAUAAACUUAAAAAAGAUCACAUCUAGACACAUCAUAAUCAAAUUGUCAAAAGUCAAAGAACUGCUAACAGGACUGGGCAGAGACAGGAGAAAGAAAUGAGUCAAUUGUAAAGAUAUCUGGAUUGAAGAAAAAAGACUCAGGGAAGAAGAAAGAUUCUUCCUGCACAGCAAUGUUAUCCAAACAGCAGCGUUCUCAGAUUGUCUGGUAGUGGAGGACAUCCCAUAAACAGCCUCCGGUAAAGAGAAGGUCGACUAUGGCGGCAGCCGCCGCAGCAGCAAACCGCCAUGCUUCUCUGAGACACCAACAAGAGCCAAGGCACAUGCUAGACGAGAAUCAAAGGAAUUAACAAUCUUCUGAGCCUGAGGGUCUGUUAUCCCAGCUGGAGGAGGAAGUGACACUACUAU